rnacentral:rRNA from 1 species
CAAAAACAUCGCCUCUUGAAUUAAAUAUAAGAGGUCCAGCCUGCCCAGUGACUCUGUUCAACGGCCGCGGUAUCCUAACCGUGCGAAGGUAGCGUAAUCACUUGUCCUUUAAAUGGGGACUAGUAUGAACGGCACCACGAAGGUUUUACUGUCUCCUUUUUCUAAUCAGUGAAACUAAUCUCCCCGUGAAGAAGCGGGAAUAAACCUAUAAGACGAGAAGACCCUAUGGAGCUUUAAACCACGUAACACUUGUACCAACUCAAUGUAAAUUUCCGAAGAGCCUAUUUUACCAAUGCAAGAUUAUUACCAGUUUUAGGUUGGGGUGACCGCGGAGCAAAAAACAACCUCCACAUUGAAAGGAUUAAUUAUCCUGAGCAAAGAACAACACCUCUAUGCACCAUUACAAUGACAUCAAUUGACCCAAUAUUUUGAUCAACGAACCAAGUUACCCUAGGGAUAACAGCGCAAUCCACUUCGAGAGCUCCUAUCGACAAGUGGGUUUACGACCUCGAUGUUGGAUCAGGGUAUCCCGGUGGUGCAGCCGCUACCAAAGGUUCG